GAAUUGCAUUGCAAAUAGUCAAUUGAUCAGUUUUGAAUUAUUAUAUUAUUCGGAUAUUGAUUUAUUUUGGUUACAUAUCAGAAGCCUUUCAACUAAUGUUUCUUCAAAUCGGCUCAGAUGGAGGGAUUUACAAAGUGUAAUUCCACUCUCUCUGCUGGUCAUCAGGGCUUCCUUAAUCAAUUGAAUGUGGUGAUCCCAAAAAUCUUUGAAGUGAUAUUGUACUGCUUUACAUAAAAUAUUGUAUUUAAAAAAAUUUCAGUUGAUUAAAAUGAUUCAGUUGGUUUCCUCUACUACCUUUGCUUUAUUUAUCUCUUGACUGUAUUUGUAAAAAAGAUAAUGUUUUUCUAUUUCAUUAUAGUGCUUCUCCACUUUUUUUUUUUUUUUUUGUUAUAUGCAUGAUCUCUUAUAGCUUGAUUUCUUGGUUUCUUUCAAACUGUCUUAUUUGCUUGUAAGUCUACUUCUUUCUUUUAUGUUGGUUUGGGUUUAGGUUUAAUUCAUUGUUGCACAUUUUUGUUUUUAUUAGUUUACAGUCUGUUUGAAAUUUAAAUUUGCUAAUUCAAUUGAUAUAUUGUUGAUAUGUUCUUUAACCUUUUGCUAAGACAAAAUUUAUGGUAGUCCCAUUUUUCCCAUUUUAUGCCAACCGAGUCCAAUUAAAAGAUAUGAUUAAACAUUUAAGAUUUAAAAACCCAUUUCUGUAGAUAUAAGUGGAGAGACUGUUUGUCCACUAUCACACAUCGCAUUGUGCAGUCUGACAUUAAUAAUUUUUAAUAUAAAUCACUGGUGCAAUAGAUUUUAAUUAAGCAGGAGAGUCUUUUAAAUAAUGAGGUACAUUUUCCCUCUUUACUUUAUUUUCAUAUUCAAGAAUACCAUGUUGACCAGUUGUGAAGUAGGAUGGAUGACUAUGCCUGCCACAACCUUAGACACAAGUGUCUAUAUGAUUUGAUUUUUACUUCUGUUAUAAUCCACACAUCUGAAAUCAAAAGUUACGAAAGGAUGAUUCAUCAAAUGUCAGACAAAGUUAAUUGAUUUAUCAGCUUUUGGGUGUGUACAGCCCAAUGCAGUACUUUCCAGGAGUUAUUGCAUCAUUGGUAUUUUUUAUAUAUGAUACAUAGUACAGGGAAAGAACAGUAACUCCAAGUGCCAACACAUCUACUAACAAUUUGCUUCAAUUAAUCCAUAUUUGUUUAGUGGUCAUAAUUGACCAUA